GAUUUAAAAAAAAAGGGGGGGGGAAAGCAAAAGGUUAUAUUACAAUCUGCAGAGAAGAAUAAUUGCUUUCCAAAGUAGCCAUGCUUUAAUUUAGACCCUACUUCCCAUUAUACUCCUUUGUUGGUUAGUUGGACUUUUAGUCAGUCUAAAUUACAUACCUAUAAUUUUGGAAUAUCUAAUCACAAUUUCAAUUAAUGUUCUGGUAAAUAUAAACUAUGAGUGUAAUACAUUUAUUUGUAUUAUAUUGCUGGUUAAGAUGAAGUGUUUGCCUUAAAAAAUCAAUUUCACAGACCCAUUUUACAGCAAACAUUUUGACUUGUCAAAGUAGGGAAAGUGUAUGAAUAAUGGCCGUAUUCCACUUAGGGGAGGUCCCCCUUUUGCACAUUCUGUUUUACUGCCAUGAAAUAGGAAACUUAAUGGAACUAGGAAAACAUUACUUUGACCUGCUCCUCCCCUACUGUGACAACUAAAAAUACACAGACGGGUGACAAAUUCAAGUAAAAACUACUCGCUGUAAUGCCCUUUAAUUUGUCAUCUGUCUUACUGCAGUCUAAAAUGGCCUAGCUUUGCAAACUUGGAAUAAGCCCACUGCUAAACUAAAACAUUUAUUAACUGUCUGAUAACACUACAAUUCACUAACACCAGGUUCACAAACAAUGUUGCAAUACAGCGUCUGGCCACUAGUGGCAGCAGUGCGGCCAUUCACCGCAGGUGAGCGACAAAACGAUGACGUCUUGUAUGUAACUUGUGUCCCAGGAGCUGAGGUCUGUGAGCGUCUAUUCAUCCUUGACAUACUGGAACUGAUGAGGAUACACCUCCUGCCUCCCACACUGACCACAAAGCAGUCAGCCUUAGUCUGUGACUCCUUCCAGCCUAUAAAAUCGCCCUGUGUGCUUCCCUCCCCCAUUGCUUGUCACCGUCCAGUCCCCUGGGGCGUCUGUCUGGGAUCUGCCAGGCUCAUCAGUGAGGAGAGGAGAAGGCUAACUGGGAGCCCUUACUGGCUGUAAAUCCAGGGAGGGUGGAGAACCUGCAGCGGCCACACGUCCACUGCACCCCAAAAAGACUUCUUCACCAAAGUCGCUGAUCAUCUACAGGGUGGAUCUUUGUGGUUCUGGUGGUUUAUGCUCAGACAUUAAAGAUGUACUGAUGGUGAGCAGUUAUCCAACUCUUGUGUCAGGUGCUGUGCUGCCACCUUUAGUUAGGCUGAGGUACUGUAAUGCAGUACCCAUUUCCACAUCAUCUCUUUACGUGGGCUAUUCUGCAGUUUAGUCACACAGCAUCUGUUUGUGACAGAGGGUAGUUUAACAACACAUCUAACCUUACUGCAUUACAGCUAGUGUACCCGUGAACAUGCAGACUUUGUUUAAAAGGCGCUGUCACAUAGAAAUACUGUCCAACUGUGUUUAAGUUUUUCCAUGCUGUGAGUGUGAUUUGAAAAGAACUAACUUUGUGAGCAGUGUUGUCUUGCAUUAUGUGUGUCUAAGGCUUUGCCUUGUAUUAGCUAGGCAUUUUAUUGACUUUUUUUUCAACUCAAGAUUGUGCAUUCAGAUAUCUCAUGGUGUUGCUGCUAAAGCUGUGAGCCUGCCUUUUUCCAUGCAUCGUUAAAACACCGAUCCCCAGGACAGAUUUGAACCUUUUUUCUGUUCAUGUGUAGUUUUUGCAUCAGCACUAGCAGUUAUAGGUUUUGACAUUUAGACAUUUCCAGACAUCCUACUUUGAACACAAAAGACUCUAAUGUCAGCUGGAUGGCAGUAGAUUACUUCCAUGUAUUAAUAAACAAAGUCAGAGACUAGGAAUGUAUUAUUGGUUUAAUUUACGUGUAUCUAGGCUAGAGUGAGUCCUAAUGUAAAACUUGUGAAACGUAAACUGACAAGAUCUGGUCUCCACUUAAGAUUUUCCAUUUUUGCAGUGCUCUGAAUUCCAUUAUGCGUCAUAUGGUUUUUAUUCAGAGUCGCAUUCCUCUGAUUGCUAUAUUCAAAGAAAAACUUCUGCAAGUUUCAGACGGUAUGUUUCUUUCUAUCACUCCUGAAUCCUUAGAUGAUUAGUCCUGACAUGGUCCCCCAAAUAAUGUUGAUGGCAUUAAUGGCCGGGUGGGUGUGGGUGAGCACAGUACCUUUUUGUGGAAUACACUGUUUUAGGGAGUGGUUUUUCUUCCUGCUGACAUGUUACUGCAGUGACAGCUGUAUCUGCCAGGGGGCAGGCAAGCACACGCAUCAAGGCAGCAGAGAGCCACAUGCAGCCCUGCCUUUGCAGAGCUUCACUCCCUCUUUUGUGGUAAUAUUGCUGUUUCUGUUUCUUAGUCUGAAGGUAUUUAAAUAAAUAUGAAAACUUCUUCAUAUUAUUGCUGUUAUAUGUUUUUGACUUGAAUUAUGGAUAUAAUUUUGUAAAGCCUAUUUAAUUAUAGACACUGUGGUUUAUAUUACCUAUUCAUGUUCUCUUUAUUAGAAUUAAUUAUAUCUGUCAUUUUCUCUAUUUGAAGGUCAAAGGAGACAAUGUGAGGAUGCAGUAGUGUAGUGAUGAUAUUACAUGUGCAUUACAACAAAUUUAUGUUCAAACGUUCAACAAGUUACAGCAUACAUAACAAGAACAUUUAUUCAUUCUCAUAAGUAAGCUUGCCAGCUACAGUUCAAUGAAGUUAAGUUCGAGAGCUGUAAUUUUGUACCAAUAAAACUGUUAAAAGAAUUUUAUUCAUUUCACUACCACUCAUUUUCCUACUCAGCCAUUUAUGAGCAAUAAGAAUAGAUACAUUAAUGUUACUGCAUUUCUGAAUAAUGGUUUUGCACUAAACCUCUUCUUGAGCAUUCAGUGUUUUCCCUUUAUUUUUGACCAAAAAAGUAAAAUCAAGUAAUGAUUCCAGACCACUUAUGAUUUAGUUUGGAAGUACUUUUCAUUUUUUCUUAUUAUUUAUAUUUAUUGUAAUUCCUCAUUGUAUGUUUACUAUAGAACAUAUUAAAAUAAAAUAUUGCUAUUGCUAUGUUUUCAUUCAGAAUUAAUUUGUCUACUCAUCAGCGUUUCUGCUGUUAGGCUUAUGAAAUGUCAGGAAGUGUUCUUGCUGAAAAAUUUGCAGAUGCACCAUUACAUAGUAGCCUGUUUAACCUUAUUUGUUAUUGUGCUAUACAUGUGAUUACAUCCUAGGUCUAAACUUGGUUUUUAAGCCCAAUGUUGCUGCUGUUUCCUUAGGCCUCCAUAGAAAAAAAAAGCCAUAAACCUUUUUUUCUUCUUCUUCUUUUUCUUUUUGGAGUAGCCGUGUUAAAAAGAACACCUGUAACUCGACACACAGACCUCUCUACUCAAAUACCAGGGCAAUGACUCAUGGGAAUGGGGACACACAGCUAAAUAGAUAGUUUGUGUACAAGCUUGUCUUCCAGGUUGAGUAUUCCCCUGGUUUCAAACAAAACAUGCAUUUGGACAACAUCUGAACAGAGGCCAUUUUGGUUUGGCUUUAUGUUUGCACAGUCCUGGGAUUGUGCAGUUGCAAGUGGGGGAUGGGCGAGCUACUGCUGCUACCAUGAAGACUUCUGUUAAUGUUUUAGUCAUUCUGGAGCCGCUGGGCUGGGAGACAGAUUCAGUCAAAAAGCAUUUGAGUACCCUCAGGUCCUCGGAGUGAUUUACUAUGUAUUUGGACAUCUGCAAAGAGCUCUUGCACCUUGAAAUUCUCUCUCUCCUUCUUUCCCUCUCCCUCUCUUUCUCUCUCUCUGUCUCUGUCUGUCUAUUUCUCUUUGCAGUAGUAAACCCUUAGGAAUGAUCUGUCAUGCUGAGUCACCUUGAAAAUAUCUAAGGUACUAUCACUUCCUGUCACCUUUUCCUUCAUCCCUUCUCCAAUCCACCCUCCCUUCCACUGUCUAUCACCUUCAAACCUUCUGCUUAAGUCUCAGCCACAUCCCUCUUAUCUUGACAAUGAGACUUUGUGUGCAAUUUUCCUUCUGCUCUGUCUCUCAUCCCGCCUCUUGCUCACCAGCUGGGCACAUCAAUCCAUGUGACAGGUGCUUGUCAGUUAGUGCCUUACUGGUCAGCACCCUAAAAAAAAGAAAGAAGCACAAAGUUUUAAACAGUGCAAGGUUACCAGUGCUAGAGAAAUUGCAUCAGUUAAAUGAACAAGUCUUAAUAUGGUUUUCAUCCUCACUAACAAGUGUAAGUGAUAAGCAGUUAUCAGUAAGUUUUGUUACCUUGACAAGUUGUAUUUACUGCUUUGUUGCCUAUGGCAGCCACCCUGAGUCGAGUGAAGAGGAGAGCUGUCAGUGGUCAUCAAUAACAUGUCUGUGUGGUGUGGGUGGUGCAGGCUGUGUGGCAUGUGUUUUAGAAGUGAUGGCCAGAGGCCCUCUGUCUAUGCAGUUCAGAAAAUAUGGUGUCAUUAGCAUCUGUGUCUCCAUAACUGGCCGAAGAGGCCCAAACAUAUCUGGUAUGCAGUGUUUAGAAGGCACGCAGACAGGAUAAUUGGUGGGCAGAAUGUGUCCGUAGCUCCAGACUUUCAAGUGCUCAUUGCCUUUGAGUGUUUUACACCCCAAGUGGCUCAAUAGCCUAGGGGAAACAAGGUCUGCAUUGAUUUAUUGCUGACCCUUAGGUCUUUUGUUUCUUAGAGCCAAGGACAUCUUAAUA